AGCAAAGAGGCGUCGAAACUAAUCUCCUCCCUCUCCCUCUGCCCUUCUCUCUGGUCUUUUUCACCUUUUAUUGUUUUGUGCUUUAUUUCUCUUCUUCUUCUUCUUCUCUUACGCCACGGAUUCCUCUUUUCCUUUAUAUCUGCUCUUCACGCGCUCUGCUUUGAUGGUGGAAUCCCAAAACUCCCAGAACAGUGAGAAUCUCCGAAUGGAUUUUCCCAGCCAUAGAUUUUGAGCCGGAAAAGACCCUCCUUUACCCCUUUCAUCCCCUCCACUGGCUCCGGGCACUGGCUGAAAUGGGAAACUGGGGAGGCUUCUCGGCGCCGCUGUCGAUGUCGACAUGGUGGUCCUGCUGCUUGCUCUUGUUGUUCCAAGCUGUACUCGGUUAUUCUCAGAACCAGAGUUGCGAUUCUAAUGAUUUGAGUGCCUUGCGGGGCUUCUUAAAGGGCUUGGAUUUUGGUAUCCCGGGGUGGAGCCUCAAUGAGUCUUCCUCCAGUUGCUGCAAUUGGUCUGGCGUCCGCUGUGAUUCGAUUCGUAGCCGGAGAGUGAUCGGGUUGGAUCUUUAUAACAUGAGCUUGAAAGGUUCCAUCUCCGAUUCUUUGGCCGGCUUGGAUCAGCUGAAAAGUUUGAAUCUUUCGAGCAAUCUGCUCCAAGCAUCGGUUCCUCAGAAGUUGUUCCAUCUUCCUCGCCUGGAGCUUCUUGAUCUCAGCUUGAACAACCUCUCCGGAUCGAUUCCUUCUGAUCUGAGUCUCCCAUCGAUUCGGGUUUUCAACAUUUCCGACAAUUCCUUCACCGACAGCCACCCGAUCCUCGCCGGCUCGAGAAAUCUCACCAAGUUUGACGUCAGUGCGAAUGAUUUCUCCGGUGCCAUCAAUCCAGGUAUCUGUAACUCCUCAUCUCGAGUUCAAGUCCUUAGCUUUUCGAUGAAUAAGUUCUCCGGCGGCUUCCCGGUGGGCUUCGGCAAUUGCCGCUCUCUCGUCGAGCUUUCGCUCGCUAUGAAUAGGAUCAGUGGAACUUUGCCUGAUGAUUUGUUCACACUGUCAUCUUUGACUCAAUUAAACCUUCAAGAGAACUCGUUAUCCGGCCCGGUGGGCUUCAAACUUGGUAAUCUUACCAAACUUGUUCAGUUGGAUGUUUCAUCGAAUAGCUUUUGGGGGCCGAUUCCUGAUGUCUUUGAUCGCCUCACAAAACUAGAAUGUUUUUCUGGUUGUAGCAACAAUUUUACCGGUAGUUUACCAGCUUCUUUGUCUAAUUCUUCGAUGCUUAGUGUUCUUAAUUUGAGGAACAACUUUCUCAGAGGAGGGAUCCAUCUCAAUUUCACCGCACUGGCUAGGCUCAGCACCCUUGAUCUUGGCUCCAAUUUGUUUUCUGGCCUUAUCCCUUAUGAUGUCCCUCAGUGUGUUGAAUUGAAAACCAUAAACCUUGCAAGAAACAAUCUUGCUGGUGAAAUCCCCCACAGCUUCCAGAACUUUGUUGCACUAUCUUACCUCUCACUCACCGGAAAUAACUUCUCUAAUAUAUCAUCAGCACUGCAAAUCCUACAGAGUUGCCCCAACCUUACUAGCUUGGUGCUUACUAAGAACUUCCAAGGUGGUGAAAUAAUGCCUUCUGCUGGGAUUGAAGGAUUUCAGAAGAUGGAGGUUCUUGUGAUCGCAAAUUGUCUUCUCUCCGGUUCGAUUCCACCCUGGUUGGCAAACUCGACCAGAUUGAAGGUCUUGGACAUAUCAUGGAACCACUUGGGUGGGAACAUCCCUUCAUGGUUAGGAAAUCUGGAGUAUCUCUUUUACUUGGAUAUUUCAAAUAAUUCACUCACCGGGCAGAUUCCUGAUAGCCUGUCAGAAAUGAAGAGUCUCAUAUCUAGCAACGUAACGCAGCAGGGGUUCUCGAUGCCGGAUUUUCCGUUCUACAUCAAACGGAAUUCGACAGGAAAGGGAUUGCAGUAUAAUCAGGUCAGCAGCUUCCCACCAUCAUUGAUUCUGUGUCAUAACAAGCUUGUCGGACCAAUCUUACCAGGCUUUGGGAACCUUGUGAAGCUGCAUGUGUUGGACCUAAGCUGGAACAAUCUCUCAGGAAUUAUACCUGAGGAGUUGGCAGGCAUGUUGAGCUUAGAGUACUUAGGUUUGUCGCAUAAUAAUCUCAGUGGAAGCAUACCAUCCUCUCUGACCAAGCUGAGUUUUCUGUCAAGUUUCAACGUAGCUUACAACAAUCUAGUCGGAAAGAUCCCGAUGGGAGGCCAGUUCUUGACAUUCUCGAGUGAUGAUUUCAUAGGGAACCCAGGUCUCUGUGGCAUUCACUUGUCCCCUUGCUCGCCCAACACUCCUUCAGAAUCAGUGAGCAGACGAGGGAAGAAUAAAGGCGUUGUUGCAAGCAUGGCACUUGGAAUUGGAUUAGGGACUGUUUUUAUUCUCACUGUUAUCUACUUUGCUGUGUCAAGGACUAAUUCUAGAAGACAAGAAGACAAUGCCAAGGUGGUGGCAGAUGCCGAUGAAAGCUUAGAAUCUGCUGGGUCUAGUUUGGUGCUUCUGUUUCAAAACAAGGACAACAAGGGGCUUAGCAUCAAUGAUAUCAUAAAAGCUACCAACAACUUUGAUCAAACUUAUAUUAUAGGCUGUGGAGGAUUUGGUCUAGUCUAUAAAGCAACUCUACCAGAUGGGAGGAAGGUUGCUAUCAAACGGCUUUCUGGUGACUACUUUCAGAUGGAGAGGGAAUUUCAAGCUGAGGUGCAAGCCCUGUCUAAAGCUCAACAUGGGAAUCUUGUGUUGCUUCAAGGAUACUGCAAGAUUGGCUAUGAUAGACUCUUGAUCUACUCUUACAUGGAGAACGGGAGCUUGGACUAUUGGCUUCAUGAGAAGAUUGAUGGGGGUGCUAUGCUGGAUUGGAGAACAAGGCUCCGUAUAGCUCAAGGAGCAGCAAGGGGAUUGGCAUACUUGCACCAAUCUUGCGAUCCCCAUAUCCUGCACCGUGAUAUCAAGUCAAGCAACAUCCUCCUUGAUGAAAAUUUUGAAGCUCAUUUGGCAGAUUUUGGUCUCGCGAGGCUUAUUCUGCCUUACGACACCCAUGUGACGACGGAUCUCGUUGGGACCUUGGGCUACAUUCCUCCUGAAUAUGGACAGUCUUCUGUUGCCACUUUUAAAGGUGAUGUGUACAGUUUUGGAGUUGUUCUCCUGGAGCUGCUUACUGGUAGGAGACCUGUGGAUAUGUGCAAACCAAAAGGCAGCAGGAAUGUUGUACCAUGGGCGCUUCAGAUGAAGAAGGAGAAGAGGGAAGCUGAGGUGUUUGACCCAUGCAUAUAUGAUAAGGAGCAUGACAGCCAGUUAAUUAAGGUGCUUGAGAUUGCAAGUCUGUGUGUAAGCGAGUCUCCUAGACUGAGGCCUCCAACACAACAGUUAGUUGCAUGGCUUGAUAACAUUGGCACUGAUGGCCAACCGACAAAAUGAGGCAAUUUCUUAUAUUUCUAUAGUGGAGCUAAGAUCACCACAGGCAACAAUAUACACAUGUAAAGCUCUUUCUUUUCUCAAGAAGAUUUUCUUCUCAUCAUCGGGACAAGAUGGAAUCCUCGUGAAGCUUGGUCUCUUGUUAGAGCAUCCAUGAUAGUAAUCAAAUUUUAAUGGAAAUGGUACAUUUUUUUGUA